rnacentral:rRNA from 1 species
ACGAACGCUGGCGGCGUGCUUAACACAUGCAAGUCGAACGGAAAGGCCCUGCUUUUGUGGGGUGCUCGAGUGGCGAACGGGUGAGUAACACGUGAGUAACCUGCCCUUGACUUUGGGAUAACUUCAGGAAACUGGGGCUAAUACCGGAUAGGAGCUCCUGCUGCAUGGUGGGGGUUGGAAAGUUUCGGCGGUUGGGGAUGGACUCGCGGCUUAUCAGCUUGUUAGUGGGGUAGUGGCUUACCAAGGCUUUGACGGGUAGCCGGCCUGAGAGGGUGACCGGCCACAUUGGGACUGAGAUACGGCCCAGACUCCUACGGGAGGCAGCAGUGGGGAAUAUUGCACAAUGGGCGGAAGCCUGAUGCAGCAACGCCGCGUGCGGGAUGACGGCCUACGGGUUGUAAACCGCUUUCGCCUGUGACGAAGCGUGAGUGACGGUAAUGGGUAAAGAAGCACCGGCUAACUACGUG